UGUGUGUGUGUGUGUGUGUGUAUUAAGCUGUGGACAAGGACUAAAUGGUAGGUGCAAUAAACCUCUUUGCAACCCAGAGCUCACUAUUCAGUAUGAGUUUUGAUACCCAUAAGAAGUAAUAUG
rnacentral:snoRNA from 1 species